AAAUUGAAGAGUUUGAUCAUGGCUCAGAUUGAACGCUGGCGGCAGGCCUAACACAUGCAAGUCGAACGGUAACAGGAAGCAGCUUGCUGCUUUGCUGACGAGUGGCGGACGGGUGAGUAAUGUCUGGGAAACUGCCUGAUGGAGGGGGAUAACUACUGGAAACGGUGGCUAAUACCGCAUAACGUCGCAAGACCAAAGAGGGGGACCUUCGGGCCUCUUGCCAUCAGAUGUGCCCAGAUGGGAUUAGCUUGUUGGUGAGGUAACGGCUCACCAAGGCGACGAUCCCUAGCUGGUCUGAGAGGAUGACCAGCCACACUGGAACUGAGACACGGUCCAGACUCCUACGGGAGGCAGCAGUGGGGAAUAUUGCACAAUGGGCGCAAGCCUGAUGCAGCCAUGCCGCGUGUAUGAAGAAGGCCUUCGGGUUGUAAAGUACUUUCAGCGGGGAGGAAGGUGUUGUGGUUAAUAACCGCAGCAAUUGACGUUACCCGCAGAAGAAGCACCGGCUAACUCCGUGCCAGCAGCCGCGGUAAUACGGAGGGUGCAAGCGUUAAUCGGAAUUACUGGGCGUAAAGCGCACGCAGGCGGUCUGUCAAGUCGGAUGUGAAAUCCCCGGGCUCAACCUGGGAACUGCAUUCGAAACUGGCAGGCUUGAGUCUUGUAGAGGGGGGUAGAAUUCCAGGUGUAGCGGUGAAAUGCGUAGAGAUCUGGAGGAAUACCGGUGGCGAAGGCGGCCCCCUGGACAAAGACUGACGCUCAGGUGCGAAAGCGUGGGGAGCAAACAGGAUUAGAUACCCUGGUAGUCCACGCCGUAAACGAUGUCUACUUGGAGGUUGUGCCCUUGAGGCGUGGCUUCCGGAGCUAACGCGUUAAGUAGACCGCCUGGGGAGUACGGCCGCAAGGUUAAAACUCAAAUGAAUUGACGGGGGCCCGCACAAGCGGUGGAGCAUGUGGUUUAAUUCGAUGCAACGCGAAGAACCUUACCUGGUCUUGACAUCCACAGAAGAAUCCAGAGAUGGAUUGGUGCCUUCGGGAACUGUGAGACAGGUGCUGCAUGGCUGUCGUCAGCUCGUGUUGUGAAAUGUUGGGUUAAGUCCCGCAACGAGCGCAACCCUUAUCCUUUGUUGCCAGCGAUUAGGUCGGGAACUCAAAGGAGACUGCCAGUGAUAAACUGGAGGAAGGUGGGGAUGACGUCAAGUCAUCAUGGCCCUUACGACCAGGGCUACACACGUGCUACAAUGGCGCAUACAAAGAGAAGCGACCUCGCGAGAGCAAGCGGACCUCAUAAAGUGCGUCGUAGUCCGGAUUGGAGUCUGCAACUCGACUCCAUGAAGUCGGAAUCGCUAGUAAUCGUGGAUCAGAAUGCCACGGUGAAUACGUUCCCGGGCCUUGUACACACCGCCCGUCACACCAUGGGAGUGGGUUGCAAAAGAAGUAGGUAGCUUAACCUUCGGGAGGGCGCUUACCACUUUGUGAUUCAUGACUGGGGUGAAGUCGUAACAAGGUAACCGUAGGGGAACCUGCGGUUGGA
rnacentral:rRNA from 1 species